GGUAGGGGUUGGGAGGGUCCAUAAAACUGUUGAAGCCAUCCAAGUGUGAAAUGGGAAGAUGAAGAAAGUGUUUUCCCAAAGCCAUUUAUAUCUGUCAUCUGUUCUGGGUCUCACUAGUAAUGUGUCUCCUGUUCAGUCCCUUCCUCCCACCUUUGCUACUUAGGGUUUGUCUUCCUCUGGGAAAACAUAUCUGGAGAGGCACAGUUGUAAAGAGAGUGACAUCUUUGUGUACAACAAAAACUUUUGUAGCCAAGUGUUCUGUUGACAUUGUACACUCUCUGAGGAAUUUACUGGCUUGGCAUUCAUUUGCAUGAACAUGUGAGUGGUUACCGAAUCACAUGAUUUGUCUUCUGAAAUGUGUGUGAGAGAGAACAUGUGUGCUACUGUUCUAUCCUGGCUGUGUUUGCUAUGAAAGAAAAUCAGAGCACUUUAUACCACUCUGAAAAGACACCGUUCAUUUUCUUCACCCUGAUCCUUGGUUCAGUUUCCAUUUUUCUCUAAAUUAUAGACAACAGAAACCUUAAUCUCACAGAUUCAUAUGAGUUCUCAAUCUGCACAGGUUAACUCUUGAGUGUUGAUUAGCCGUUUGUGUAUUUUGCAUUUGUCCUUACCGAGAGUUUUUCCUACUCAAGACUCGGAUGAGCUUCAGUGAAGAGGAAGGAGAGGUACAAACACUCUGUGCUCCUAUUAGUCAGACAGUGACUCAUAGGAUUUCCACUUAUUUUCUUUUGAUCCUUGCAGGACCAGUGUGAAUUGGGCAUCUUUAGUCUAUCUUAUGCAUAUAGAAAGUGAAUCCUGGACAUGAACUAAAGAGACUGCAAAUGGUCUCUUCCUAGUUUUUCUACUGACUCUUCUGCUAUACAAUGAUGCCUUGAUAGUCUGCUACUCCCUUGGGCUCCUCAAGCGUGAUCUGCCCAUAUUAAUGCUCAGGUAUCCCUUUGGAAGACAGUCGGUGGCCCAUGUCUUUGGAUGCACCUUCAGGAACUUCAGAUUUAACCCUCAACCUCCUCUCAGCUCAAGUAAUUAAAAGAUAAGACUAUAAAACAGCAAGAAUACAGCUUAAAUGAGUAAACCAGAAUAUAUACAUAGAACUGAUUAUUAUAGAUUCUUAUGUCAUUAUUCUAAUAAUAAUAUUGCUCAUAUGAAAAUUUUUCAGGGGAAUAGAAUUAUUUUAAGAAUCACAACGAAAACUUAUUAUUUUAAAAUCAUCCUUUAUUUUUAGAUCCAAAUAGUGUUACCCAAGUUGGCCACUCUCGGUUUUUUCACGACUUGAUUCAAAAUCACAUUUUUCUCAUUGUAAGAACAUUCUGGAUAUGAAAGUUCAGGAGUUCUGGGGUACAUAGCCUGGUUCAGCCAUUUACCAGUUGUGUAUUCUUGUACCUUUUGGUUAAUAUCUCUGAUUCCCAGUUUUCUCAGCUGUAAAGUGAAGAUAGUGAUAUAUAGGGUUCUAUGAAAAUUAAACUGUUGACCACCCAGACCACGUCCACUCUGCCAGCACAGAGCCUCACACUCACCACUCCACCACCUGUCGACACCCGCCACCAGCUCACCAUGGAUGAGGAUAUCGCCACACUCAUUGUGGACAACAGCUCCAGCAUGUGCAAGGCCGGGUUCAUGGGUGAUGAUGCCCCCAGGCAUCUUCCCCUCCAUCGUGGGGCACCCCAGGCACCAGGGCAUGAUGUUGGGCCUGAGUCAGAGGGACUCCUAUGUGGGUGACAAGGCCUGGAGUAAGAUAGGGAUCCUGAUUCUGAAAUACCCCAGUGAGCAUGGCAUCAUAACCAACUGGGAGGACAUGGAGAAGAUCUGAUACCACACCUUCUACCACAAGCUGCGUGUGGCUUCCGAGGAGCACCCUGUGCUGCUGACCAAGGCCCCCCUGAACCCCAAGGCCAACUUUGAGAAGAUGACCCAGAUCAUGUUUGAGACCUUCAACACACCAGCCAUGUACAUGGCCAUCCAGACUGUGCUGUCCCUGUGCACCUCUGGCCCUACCACUGGACCCUAGUAGAUGGACUCCAGUGAUAGGGUCACCCACACUGUGCCCAUCUAUGAGGGUUAUGCCCUCCCCCACACCAUUCUGCAUCUGGACAUCUGGCUGGAACCUGACUGAUUACCUCAUGAAGAGCCUCACCUAGCGUGGCUCCAGCUUUACCACCGUGGCUGAGUAGGAAAUCCUGUGUGACAUCAAGGAGAAGCUUUGCUACAUCACCCUGGACUUUGAGCAGGAAAUGGCCACAGAGGCCUCCAGCUCCUCCCUAGAGAAGAGCUAUGAUCUGCUGGAUGGCCAGAUCAUCACCACUGGCAAUGAGCAGUUCUGUUGCUCCAAGGCAUGCUUCCAGCCUUCCUUCCUGGGCAUGGAAUCCUGUGACAUCCAUGAAACUACCUUCAACUCUAUCAUUAAGUGUGACAUGGACAUAUGCAAAGACCUGUUUAUCAACACAGUGCUGUCUGGUUGCACCACCAUUUACCCUGGCAUCACCAACAGGGUGUAGAAGGAGAUCACCACCCUGGCGUGCAGCACGAUGAAGAUCAAGAUCAUUGCUCCUCCCAAGUGCAAGUGCUCCAUGUGGAUCGGCAGCUCCAUCCUGGCCUCACUGUCCAUCUUCCAGCAGAUGUGGAUAAGGAAGCAGGAGUGCAACGAGUCUGGCCCCUCCGUCAUCCACUACAAAGGCUUCUAAGUGGGCUGUGACUUAGCGGCAUUACACCCUUUCUUGACAAAACCUAACUUGCGCAGAAUACAAGAUGAGUUUGGCAUGGCUUUAUUUGUUUUUUGGUUUUGUUUUGUUUUGUUUUUUUGGCUUGACUCAGGAUUUUAAAAACUGAAAUGGUGAAGGUGACAGUAGUUAGUUGGAUGGAGCAUUCCCCAAAGUUCUACAAUGUGGCCAAGGACUUUGAUUGGAUAUUGUUCUUUUUUUAAUAGUCAUUCCAAAUAUCGUGAGAUACAUUGUUACAGGAAGUCCCUUACCCUCCCAAAAGCCACCCCACUUCUCUCUAAAGAGAAUGACCUAGUACUCUCCCGUGUCCAUACAGGGGAGGUAAUAGCAUUGCUUUCAUGUAAAUUAUGUAAUGCAAAAAUUUUUUAAUCUUUGCCUUAAUACUUUUUCAUUUUGUUUUAUUUUGAAAAUUUUAGCCUUUGUGGCUGCCCCAUUUUUGUCCCCCAACUUGAGAUGUAUGAAGGCUUUUGGUCUCCCUGGGAGUGGUAGAGGCAGCCAGCAGUUACCUGUACACUGACUUGAGAUCAGUUGAAUAGAAGUGCACACCAAAAAAAAGAAAAAGAAAAUGUUAAAUUAUGAUUUAAUAUCUAUUAAGCAUUUAGCAUAAUACCUACUAUAUUUAGGGGUUAAGUAAAGGCAUGAUAGUUUAUUUACUUUAAAAAUAUGAUUUUAAAAAAUCACUAAAAAUUCCAAAGACUGUCUACUAAAUUAUUUAAAUCAAUAUCAAAAGAGAAAUGUAAAAUGGUCUAAUUACUUUUAUAAUGAUAUAACACGAGCAUAUUAUAAAGGAUUAUGAUUUGGUUAGGGAGAUACGUGCCUUGUUAAAAAAUUCGGUUCUAUUAUUUAUAGCCAGUUAGGCUCACAAAGCAUAUGUUGGGUGGGUAAUAAAGAAUGGUGCACUGAAGUUAUGGUCUGUCAAUACAUUUAAAGUAAGAUUGACUAGGAAAUUUGAAACAUAUAUACAAAGAACAUGAGAAUGAAAAGUGUAUGUAAUUAUUAUUUACUAAUGCUUUUAUAAUCGGUGUAUCCAUUUUUAAAUGAAAAAUCCUUGAAGACAAGUAACAUUUAUUUCUAUGCUUGGUGUGUCUUGCAUAGAACACACUGUGGCUAUAUUUGAAUAAGACUUCUAUUCUGGCCACUCAUCUGAAUCAAUGUCUUUCUAUGGUUAUCUUUAAAGAUGUCUGGAUAUAUUAAUCCUUUCAACAACCACACUAGAUUAAUGGACAAGUAAUUAAUUAAUGUACACUCUUCUUGCCUAUAGUCAUAAGAAAUUAGGGUAAAUCUAACCUUUGCCCACAUAUUUCUUAGAAAAUGCAUGCUGCUUUAUGGAACCCCAAUAUAAAACACCUUAAAUUUGCAAGCAAAUCAAGGGCCAGUCUUUAUUUUCUUAAAGGAUGUCUAUGUGGUGUUUAGAAUGAAUGCUUCUAGGAAUAUGGUAGCAGUGUUGAAGUGAGAAAUGCUUGUGUUAUUAAACUGCAUCGUGAUAGCAGCCAGUGUUACACAUCUCUGUGGCACUAACUCCCAAUCUCACACACUGUAAUUUUAUUCACUCCUCUAUUAUGAAAGGAUAUAUUUUUAAAUCAAUGUAGUUGGCAUAUAUAGGUGUAUACUUGGUUUCUCAUAUGAAUUUAAUCUCUCUGAUUGGAGGGGCAAAAUAAACUAACAGAAAAAUGCCUUUCACAGACAAAGGCCAGUAAAGAGGACAUCUGUCCCUGCGGGCUUAGUUUCCCUGUCUGAAACCGUGCUAGUCUUUGGAGCUGUUGUGUGCAUUCUUAGAAAGUGCAGUAGUGAUGGGCGCUGAGAACUCACUCCUUACUCAACUUUGCCUACUUACAUGGAGCCAUCAUAAGGUUGUCAAGAGGAAUCAUACCGAUAAUCACUAGAAAAUAAAAUCCUUGAUUCUGGGUCAACCCAGGAACCAGGAGAAGGUGACAAUUGACUACGGUUGUGGUGUGCAUAGCUGUAUACCAGGACCACUAGAAACUUUAAAAUCACAUAUGUGACUCAUGUAUGGCCUGAAUUAUACUUAUUUUGGUCAGUACUAUUCAGAGUCAGACCAACUUAGAUUCAAAUACAGCUUGUGCGAUUUACUAGUGAAUUUAGACAAAAAUUCUUAAAAAUCAAGGCAUCAGUUUCCAACAUACCACAAAAAAGAAGGAUAAAUUCAUAUCUUGUAAGACAUUUGGAGAAUUGAGUUAAAAUAAAAUAUGAACCCAGCAGGUGCCUGGGAAAAAGACAACAUUCAAUAAAUGUUAGCUCCUUCUCACAUCCAUCCCCUUCAUACAUACAUAUAUGAAUAUGGAUAAGAAUAUAUAUAUUAUGUGUGUGUGUAUCUUAGUCUUUAAGGACAACCAGAAUACUGUUUUUAAAAACCCAGUUCUUGGCCGGGUGUGGUACCUCAGGUCUGUAAUCCGAGCACUUAGGGAGGCCAAGGCGGGUGGAUCACUUGAGGUCAGGAGUUCAAGACCAGCCUGACCAACAUGGUAAAACCCGUCUGUAUCAAAUGAUACAAAAAUUAGCUGGGCGUGGUGGUGUGCACCUGUAGUCCUAGAUACUCAGGAAGCUGAGGUGGGAGAAUCACUGAGCUCAGGAGGCAGAGGUUGCAGUGAGUGGAGAUCACGCCACUGCACUCUAGCCUGGGCAACAGAGUGAAACCCUGUAUCAAAAUAAAUAAUGAAAUAAAAUAAAAAUCCUGUUAUUUUAAAGAGCUCUUUUCAAAUACAGGCUGUCACUCAAUAGUCGUAUCAUCCACAGUAAUGUAUAUGUACAUACUAUUAAGGGGUAAAUAACACCUACUUCCCAGAGUUGUUCUAUGAAUUAGAAAUGAUCCUUGUAAAACACCUAGCAUAUUACCUAUCAUUGGUACUUAAUAUAUUGCAUAUACCAUCAUCAUUUAUGUCAUCAUUAACAAUCAUUAUCAUUAUCACUAAACAAAGCAGCUGGUAACUGCACAUAUAUACACACACACGUGUGUGUGUGUGUGUGUGUGUGUGUAGCUCACUGUUCCCUUUUGCUGUCUGAUUUAUAGGGAAGACAGUUUAAUUCUACCACAACCUUAGUUUGCCUAUGCAUAAACGAGAUGAUACCUUUAAGAGGCAAAAAGAAAGAGUAUGUCACAUGGUGGGCAUUUUAAUCAAAGUCUCUUCCUAGGCUUCUGUGUCUUUUUCACCAUCAUCUGGUAGCAAAACUCGUUCAGCCCUUUCCUCUUGUUUCCUUUCUCUCUCCCCUCUUACUUAGAUCGUUUUUACCAUGUUUCCACGUUCCUCUUUCCUGAGCUGAGACUUUUCCCUCUCUUCAGCACAUAGAACAAACACAUUUGCCUCUAGUGCUCUAGGUAGCUAAUUAACGUAACAUGUUCUAAGGUUGUGAGUGUGUGCGUUUUUAAUUUAUGACUUGCUAUUGUUUUUCCUAGCUCUGACUUGGCAACUAUAUUUAUUUGAAAAAAAAAGUGCUAUGAUUUGCUUUUCUAAUUUUCAGAGAGCUCUUCUAGUUACAAGCGGGUUGGAUUUUCCAGUGGUUGGUUGCCAGCAAGCUGGGACUGCACACAGAGCUCUGUGCUAGGCAAGGAAAUACUUCAUUAGACUUGUAUUCCAUGAAGACACUUUUGCUUCUUAACGCCUGUGAUUUUAAUUAAAACCUGGAAAGUAAAGAAUCUUCUAGUUGUAUUAAUGCUUUCAUUUCCAUUAGGACAGUGUAGUUUAUAAACACUAUCUGGGUUUAUAAAUUAGUCCUCAUGUGAAUAAUAAGUACACAAUGUCACAUAGAAAGCAAAACUCUGCCAGCCCAUCUGUUCUCUCACUCUUUUUUCUUCGAUUGUUGUUUUUGUCUUUGGAGAAUCGUGGAGGAAUGGUCCUUGAUUUCUUUUAUCUCUAUCUAUUUCUGAUAUCCUUUAACCAUGUCUCAUAGGACUGCGUAUGCUAAAACCAGAUUUUAUUCUGGGUUGAUAGAAGGGGGCUUGGUAGUUCAUUUAUAUGUAAAUCUAAAGUAAAAAUAAAUAAAAAUUCAGCCAUUAAAUUCACUUGGGAGACGAAAUUUUCUUUUCCUAUAAAUCUUGAUUUCUUAGAACAUUUAAGCUUUUCAGAAUACAAAAGUGUUAUAGGUACACACACACACACACACACACACAAAUGCAUACACAUGUAUUUAUAUUUCUAAAGUAGAGAGGUUACCAGACACAAUUACUUUAUGUACAGUGCUUAAUUAAUGGGUUAUCAUUUUCCUUCAUAUACAUCAAGAAAUGUAACCAGAUAAACAAUUAUGGAAUUAUAGUUAAGAUUCUGACAAAACACAUAAAAUUAUUAUUAUAUGAAAUUUCUGUUUAUGCAAAAGCAAGUGAUCAAUAUUAUCCAUUUCAGUAAAAGCUUUCAAUUAGAGAAAAUUAUAUAGGGGUCAAAAUGAACCAGGAACUGGACAUAAGUCAGUUUUGUGGACAUAUUGGUCUCUGGAAUCCUUUUUGAAAGCAGGGCAGUAUAAAUUAUAAAUAAAUGAAGACGUAUUUAAUGAAGUAAGUAUUCUAUGGGGAGGAAUAAACUCCUAGAACUACUUUUUAUUGAUUAGAGACUUAGGUGGCUUCCAUUCCAUAAGCACUCAGGAGUCUGACUGCUUCCAGAGCUUGGAAGAAUUGACUUUAAGGGUGUAUAUACUUCCUGCAGGUACUUGCUGAGAACUCAGCCUCGGGUGGGCUAUGAAACUCUUUGGUUGAGAUAACUUCAACUGGUGUUUGUGUUUUGUCUAUUUGAAAUAAUUGAAUGACACAAAGAAGUGACCCUUUUAUGAGGGUAUGACAUCUGAGUACCCACAUUGGUUCACAUGUGGGGCCAGGGCUCUCUCCUCUUAACACUGUGUUGUGUGUCUGUCCAGUUCUUUUUGCAUAGAGAGGUAAGGUGCAGGCUCAUUUUGUCUGUGUCUCAUAAGCAUAGAAGUAUCAUAUCUGGGAGGGUCACUGGCACUCUUUGCAUAUGUCUGGCACAAACUGACAGAUCAGAAGACUGCUAAUAGGCACAUCUGUGGUGAAAUGUGCCAAAAAUGAACAUGUUUCCUCAUAACCAAAUAUACAUUGCACAACAAACAUAUGUAUGGCAGUGUGAUUUAAAAUCCCUACAAAUUACUGUAAAUACAAAAUACCAAAUUAUAAUACUAUAUACCUUUAUUAUCAGAAAACUUAUGUGGAAUUUUUAUUUGCCAAAGAAUAAACAUCUUUGAAGUACUAAAAACAACCCUUCCAAUCUUGAUUCAUCAUUUUGCUACAUUCUCUAUUUGGUUUUCUUCCACCAAUUUUUCUUGGUUUCUUCUGAAUAUGAGCAUUCAUAAAAGCAAUAGUAAUAAUAAUUAUAUAUGGAUAGUCUGUAGCACCUUAAUUUACAAAGAGUUUUUUUCACAUAUAUUAUCUAUUUUUCAGCAAUCUUAUCUGACUAAUGAGUAAGACAGUGUGUAUGUGUGAGACUAUAUAUGAAAGAUGCGACUUUAUUUACCGGGCUUCACGACAAGUUCACCUAAAGUUCCUAAAAAACAAUGGUGUAUGGUUUAAAUAUCUUAUUCUUCUAUUUGUUUCUUUGAAAAACACUCCUGUGUAUCACCUGAUUUUCCAUUUUUGGAACACACUGACCCAGGGAUCAAUAUCUCCUUGUACCUACCCCACUAUCUUCAUGUUUGUGAGUUACAGUUUUCCUCAUUAGAGAGUUCAUUACUAAAGAAUAUAACAGACAUUUGAGUCACUUAAUAGUAAGACUACUGAUACUAUAAUUAUCUAUCUCUUCAAGAAGCUCACAGUCAAUAGUAUCUCUUUUUCUCAGCCUGGUUCUGAACAAGUUGAAAAGAAAAAGAAGGAAAAACAGAAGCCAAAAUGUCAUCUUAGUACUGAUAAUUACUAACUUAUUUGUUGUAUUUUGGGGUCUGUUGGCCACGUGGCUUUGCAAAUACUGAACCCUUGACUUAGGAGACUCACCCCUUCUGGGUAAGGUAGUCUUAUCCCUGAGCAGCCUGCAAAGGUGGGUUCCUGCAGGACUCACAGCAAGGAGACGUUGAGGAAGCGUCUCCUGUGGUCUCAGUUGACAGGCCCCUUCCCAUAAAAAGGAAGAGUGAAUCUGGGCCAACAGCAUUAUUCUUCUCAAAUUUAACCAUCAGGUAUGCUAUACCACCUCCCAGAGGAAGUAAAUGAAGGAAUGAAUAGAAACCAGGAGCGUACUUAGGGAAAAUGUUCCCAUAUGGAAAUGAGUAGCAGAGAAAAGGCAAUAUGUUUACCUAACUGAUCAUGUAAUCACAAAAUGACUUGUAAGAAUUGGGCCAAAAAAGUAUGGCAAAGCCUCAUUUAAAAGAAAUCUUGGUAGAUAUUAAACAAGAUCUGUUUCAUAAGGGUAUGCAGUAUUCGGAUUUGCAGAAGACUGAUUUGAAUCAAAAUGACGAUGGGCCAGAGAUUUAUUUUUUGGAGUGUGUAUAUAAUUUUUGGUCUGUUAUCAAGCCUUACUUUGAUAAAUGGAUGUGAGCUAAUCGCUUCAAUGCAUACUUACCAGUGUCACUUAGACAGUGCUCAGCAGCUGUCUCUCCUAUUUGUUAAACUGAUUAGAACCUAAGACAAGUUCUUUCUGUCAAAGGCCUUGUAGCCCCUGUGUCAUCAAACAGGAUGGAAGACUGAGUGAAGAGAAGAGGGCAGAUGAUUCUUAUCUUCUGUCUUCCGGGCCUCAGCAAAGGGAGGUUAUUGAGAUAUCCUUCCAAGAAGUUUAAAUAGAAGUGUCUGUUGGCAAAAUGAAAACAAAUGGAGAAGUCUGUAAGACCCACACAGGGGUCUUGGUUUCCUUCUGCCUACCGCCCCUGUGGGAGAGGCAAGCUGGCACUUUUAUUCAGAAGAAUGCAUCUCAGUCAGAGGCAGGAGCUGUCAGAAUUAGUAGGGAGGAGGAGGUACUUUUCCCUGAUAGCUUUCUAAGCUCCCUGGAAUUCUCUGACAUUGCUGAAUCUGUUAGAGGCCAAUAUUCAGUCAGCUUGAGGAGAUGGGCUUUUUGACUCCCACAAGAUUCCAAACUCAUCAAUUGGUCUACUCAGUGUAUCUCCUUGGAAACACCACUGGGAACUCCACAGAUGCAACAGUUCCAUCCUUGUUGCUUUCUCUGACUAUUCACAUUCAAGGAGAAUCUGCAGAGAAUGCAUACAACUGCUGGUUAUGUUCAGGCACUGUUCACUGGCACUUUCUUCUACCCUAUAGCUCUCAGUGCUACUCUCAGCUCAGGCCCACCGUGGUUGUCCUCUUUUCCCAUAGCUUUUUGUGGCCCUUCCUUCCCGUAUCUCAGUAAAAGCAAUACUACAGAUUGUCUGAAUAAUUUUUUUUCUUAACAUCUAGGGGUUUGAGAAUGAUGCCUGCCUCACAACUUCCCAUCUAUGCAUACUCUGUGGACAUUGCUCGCUUGUCUCUAGAAAUGGGGUUGGUUUUGUAGUCCAAACUAUUGUUUCAACAAGCUUGUAACUGUACUCCAGAACAAGAUGGAGAUCAAGGAAGCGUAGGUUGUAUCCAGAGUGCAAAAUGGUGCAUCAAAUUGAUGUAUCAAAGUGGCAAAAAUGAAUAAAUUAUUCUGCUCUAUGAAAACUGGUUUAUGAAAAAAGUGAUAGCCUCUGUUUCACCAAAGAACAUAAAAUUAGCCUUUUUUCAAGCUUAAUUAGCAGGGGGAAAACAGAAUAUGUUGACCAUCCACACUGGCCACUACAUACUUGCAUACCAGGACUUUUGUCAGGAAGCCUGAAUGCUUAGGAAGGACAUUAACGGAAGCAAAAGUCUCUUAUUUCCUGCAGCUUUGUCCUCCUUAGUGACUAGUAAAUUGUUGAUUAUUAAAUUGAUUAGAGAGCUUAGGAGAAUAGAACUCUGGUUUUGCAGAUUAGAAUGCUGUGUCAAGGAUGUCAUAUUACCCUGACUUACAUGUGCAAAUGGCACUCUACCUUGUCCCCAAAGGAUAGAAAAAGAUGUGAUACAAAGAGUGGGACAAAGAUUCAGUAUUGCUUUCUCACGACACCUUUGGAAGCUAAGAAAAGUUUUCAAGCAUAAGUGCCUAAAACUGGUAGAAACCUAAGGGGGAAAAAACUGUUAUGGAUACUCUGUGUUUUUGCCCAUCACUGAAGACAAAACAAAACAAAAAAAAAUUAGGUAUAAAGCCCUUCCACAGAUACUACGUCAUUAGAUAUUCACACAACCUUGUGAAAUAACUGUUUCAUUUUUAAUUUAAUUCCUCUCUGUUCCUUUCCAUGUUUGUAAAGCGGAGAUCAUAAUAGGAAUUUUAUAGGCUUGUUAUGAAAAGGAAAUGAGAUUAUAUCAGUCCUUUACUGUGUGUUUCAGUUUGGGGCACUCAAGAAGCAGACACUGAGAUGGAAUGAACUGUUCAAGAGAUUUAUUGGGAAAAAUACAUGUGAAGAAUAGAGGAGGAGACAGCAGAGAAGGUGAAAGGAGGCUUCAGAUUGCAAUGUAGGUCUGACACGUGUGAGCAAAGGACCACACAGAUAAAGGAUUGGUUUGGAAAAGCUUCAGAGUACAAUUCUGAAAAAGACUCAAUCCAAAUAAAAAGUUACCUGCUAGUGGUGUUCUGCAAUGGGAAGAAAUAGCUCAAUUCUAAUAUCCCUAGUGAGUCAUCAUCUGAGAACAGCCUGGAGGAAGCAUGGCCCUAGGACAAGCACCCAUGGAUCCCAAAGGGUAGCAGCUGGAGGCUCUCAUUUCUUGAAGGGAGACCAUUGUGGAGUGGUGCAUGUCCAUGACCCUCACAGCACAGGUGCCUGGAAUGUAGUAAGCAUUUGAAAUAACUUAACUAUUAUUAUUUCCAUUAUAAAAAUAAAGAAGCUGUAUGUCCAAUGGCAAUGUGUGAUUUGGCUAGGAUUCUUUGUAACAGACCCAAGACUUAAGCCUACAUUUCUGCCUCUGGAUCUUAUGCUCUGUCAAGCACAUCACAUACUGCUCUUUAACAGCAUGUACUUAAUACAUUUCCUUCUGUGAUGCUAAUUCCACCGGGGACAAUAAAACCUUCCCCUAAGUCCUUCAGGUUGUGUAGCCUUGCUGCCUCUGAGAGAGGCUUGGUUCGUUCCUGUGGCUUCUUAGGCACAGCAUCUUGCCCUUAGCUCUCAGUAGUCCAAUUCCUGGGAUUUGAGCCAAAGCAAACUCCAAGGUUGAACCUCAGCUCCCAAAAAGGCCACGUCACUCUUGGCUUCAGCAUUUAGAAGACAGCAUGGAAAGCUUCUUUUUGUCUGCAUGGAAAGGCUGUGGGUCUUCUCUGAUGCCAUGAUACAUUAGAAUAUCACUGCAUGUCAUUUACACUGAAAUCUCAUUAUCGUGUGCCAAAUUCUUUUAUGGCCUCUAAUCUGUUUUUCGGUGAACAGAUUUUAAUUUUUCCUUUUUACCUAAAGAAUAUAUGUAUAUCUACAUAUACAUAGCCUUUAAAAUGUGUGUGCUAGCAAGUUAUUUUAAAUUCUGAGAACAGGUUUAUUAUACACAUUUUUUUUCAUUUUUCAGAGUUAAGAAUGUGACACAGCCACGUUCUAGCCAGUUUACAACUUAGAUUACAGCAGGCUGGUUUCUAAUUGUCCUAACAGAUUUCUAGCUGCGUUAUUAGUUCUUAGGCCAAGAACACAAAGUAAGUACAAUUUCUGGGUAUUGUCAUGUUUAAAUAAUUAUAAUUUCCUUCUUUUAAAAAUAGGGUCAAAUAUCCCUAAAUUGAGGUGUGAUAAGAUGAAUAUGCCCAUGUUUACACACAGCAGCAUACACAGGUACACUGGCAUUAUUGACUCUGCAAUACGAACAUGCAGACAAAUAUGAAGAAGUCUAGAGAAAAUAUAAUCAGGUCUUUUGGUGGAAAAUUGCAGUACCCUCGUGUCAGAAUGAAACUUCUCAGGAUUACAGUGGUAAAGACUGAAAGACAUAGGAUUUUCCCCUCAUUUUCAUAGAUAGUCUAACAUAAAAGCUUGAAUCUUAUUACUAUAAUGUUCUUAAUGACCUCCAAAGCUAUUUAGAAACGUUUGGUCAUCUCUAAGAUCACUGGCUAAUAGGCGAGGCGUUUUCAAUUGAACCUCUUAAAUCUACCCUUGGAACAGGCUUUCUGAAAGUAGAAAAUAGAUUUGUUUGUUUAUUUGUUCCCUGACUUUCCAAAAAAAGGAUUUGAAGUAGUCAGGAGAAAGAAGUCACAUUAUUAGCCGGGCAAGAUGUGCCCAACCAACAAAUCGCUAAAGAAGGGUUGAAGUGAUGCUGCACGGCCCCUAAAAGAAAGCGCCAAAGAACAGGCCAGGCCACCUGAGAAUUAGAUGGCUACCUAAUGGUCAAAUAUGUAUUUCAGAGUCUUUCCUCAGGCUUACCCAAGAAAGCCUUAGAACUGAGUUGGGGGUAGUAUUCCAGUGGCAACAGUUAUCAAUCACAAUACAACAAAAUAUGAAGUGGCCAACUUUAAACAGCACUAUUCAGUGUUAAUUAAAUAGGGAAGGUGGUUUCUUAGAGCUCACUUUUAGGGAUUUAACCUCUAUAAUUUAUUUCUGUGAUUUGUGCUUACUAAAGGAUUGUUUUUAAUUAUUCCAUUGUCUAAUCCCCUAAAAUAGAUUUCUCCUCUUCUCCUCCCAUGUUCCUAUAUUUAGUCAUCAUUCUUAAAAAUUACCAGUACUUUAUUUUCACUGAAGAUCUUAAAAGGUAUGAGAAUGGAAUGCAAGAUACCUCAACUACAGAUCACGUGACAGUUUAAAUUACCCCAUGAUUAUCUGAAAUGGUUUUAGAGGCACCUUUAAUUUUCAGCUUACUUUAUAUGCCAAAGAAGAUAACAUACGUUUACUUAGUCAUUUGAGAUUUUCAACCCAUAUAACAAAAUAGCAAAUAAGACAUCUGCAAAGGUGGAUUUACAAAAGGUAGAUAUUAUAUUUCCCAUUUCCAACAGGAGGAAAUCAAAGCUCAGAGAGGUUAAGUCACUCUUUCAUGUUUAGCAGAUGGAACUAGAUCUUAACUCUAACAUGUAUUUGGUGUCUCUAUUCACUAUAAUACUAAAGUAUUUUUUCUCCGUAAUGCUAUCUUUGUUCCCACUGUAAUUCAUUCUACCUGCAGUAGCCAGAAAGAUACUUUCCAAAAGUAAACCAGGUAAAGUAAUUCUCAUGCUCAAAAAUAUUCUGAAAGAUUCCUGUUGCAUGCAGAAUACUAUAAAACCCCUUGUCAUGACCUCACCGUGACUGUCUAUGUGACCUCACCUUGUCCUGCCCUCCUCCAAUCUUACAAACUCAAGCCACACUGACCCUUUUAUUCUUACCUAUAUAGAUUCUCUUAUUUGCUGUUUCUUCUGCCUGAAACUGUCUGCUGUGAGAUUUGUACAUUGCUUGCUCCUUCUUGUAAUGGAGGUCUCAGUUCAAAUGUCAUACGUUUAUAGGGGUACAUUUGUCAAAUCAAAUUUCCUUAUUAUAUACUGUAUCAGACAUUAUUUUCAUUUAUUUGCUUACAUGUCCAUUGUAUACCUGUUCUCAACAAUUACACCUUCAAAUAUAAACCACACAAAAAUUCUUUGUCUUUUGUUUUCUGUUGUGUCCCUAGCAUCUAGGUCAGCAUCUGAGAGUCUUCUACAUUGUACUUAGUUUUGAAAGUGAACUUAAAAUCACAAUCUCUCUGCGCAUGUUCACAAAAUCUUCAGACUUGAGUGGGAAAGUAAAUAUUAAUUUUUGAAAUAAAGCAUUAAUGAUGCAAUGCUAAAUGAUAGUGUAUAAAAUUAUACAGUAUAAUUAGAAGUAUAUAUGCAAAAACUGCAAUGAAAUAGACCAAAUACUAGCAUUAAUAACACAAUUAUUUUAUGUAGUGUGACAUUUUCUCAGUUGUCUACAGUGUACCUAUUUCACUUUAAUAAUCGGAAUAAAAUUACUUUUAAAGCACAAAAUAAAACUUAAAAGGAGAAAACGAUUUCUCAGUACCGAAAGGAUUGUUUUCUAAAUUUAUUUUGCUUUGCAAUGGGUGCUAAUAUCAAUGUUCACCUUCUCUACAGGCCAUAUUGCCUCAAUUCUUCCAUAGUGUCUCAAGUGAUGGGUUUGAAGUUUUCUCUUUAGAAUGUAAUUCAGUUUAUUUAUAUCUCUGCAACACUCAGUACUGUGCAUAAUUCUCUAGAAAUUCUAUAAAUGAUGCAGAGUAAAGUAGAAUUAUGUUCUCCCACUUUCUGGAUAAUUCCUAGAUGUUUAUUGCUGCUUAAGUUUGUAUCAGAUUUUUUGGCAACUCAUAUUAUCAAAUUAGGAGUCAAGUUCACAGGUUUCCCCCUUAGGCACAGCUAUUAUUCUUUUUUUUUUUUUUUUUUUUUUUUUGUGACGGAGUUUCACUCUUGUUACCCAGGCUGGAGUGCAAUGGCGCCAUCUCAGCUCACCACAACCUCCGCCUCCUGGGAUCAGGCAAUUCUCCUGCCUCAGCCUCCCGAGUAGCUGGGAUUACAGGCACGCGCCACCAUGCGCAGCUAAUUUUCUGUAUUUUUAGUAGAGACAGGGUUUCACCAUGUUGACCAGGAUGGUCUCGAUCUCUUGACCUCGUGAUCCAGCCGCCUCGGCCUCCCAAAGUGCUAGGAUUACAGGCUUGAGCCACUGCGCCCGGCCCACAGCUAUUAUUCUUGUAUGCUCUCACUUCAUAGUUGUACGUGUAAUUUUGUUUUUAUUUGCCAACAAAGCCUAACGUCAUAUCUAAAUAUAUUUUAUUGAUUUAGAUUUGUCUCAGUUUUCUAACAUUUUAAGUUAUUUUAAACCCUAUUCAAUUACUCAGCCAAUUGAUGAUUCCUGCUCCCAUAUUUGUGUUAUGUACAAAUAUGACAUUCACUUAGUUGAAUUGUUUCUUUAUUCAUUUAUUUUUGAGAAAGGGCCUUACACUGUUGCCCAGGCUAGAGUAGAGUGACACAAUCAUGGAUCACUGCAGCCUUGCAUUCCUGGACUCAAACAAUCCUCCUUACUCAGCCUCCCAAAGCACUUGGAUUACAGGCAUGAGCCACUGCACCUGGCCUGAAUUUAUUGUAAAAUAUUGAACAGGUUAAGGUGAAGAACAUAACUCAAUUCAAAGCUUCUAGAUCAUGCUUAGUUAAUACUGAUUUGCCUAUCGUUUGUAUGCUAUGGUUGCCAUUGAUCAAUCAGUUACAAAUACAGCUACUAUUACAAUCCAGUCCACAUAUCUUGAUUUUUAACAAGAAAGUGGUGAUGAGGAUAAUAGGAAGUGCCUUGCUAAAAUCUAGAUUAAAUAAAUACCUGCUAUAUUUCUCACUAAUUAAAAAUAUUAAUAAUUAUAUGGAG